UACGAAGGGGGCUAGCGUUGUUCGGAAUUACUGGGCGUAAAGGGCGCGUAGGCGGUGUGUCAAGUCAGGCGUGAAAGCCCCGGGCUCAACCUGGGAACAGCGCUUGAGACUGGCACGCUCGAGUUCGGGAGAGGAUGGUGGAAUUCCCAGUGUAGAGGUGAAAUUCGUAAGAUAUUGGGAAGAACACCGAUGGCGAAGGC
rnacentral:rRNA from 1 species